AGGCAGCAGUGGGGAAUAUUGCACAAUGGGCGCAAGCCUGAUGCAGCCAUGCCGCGUGUAUGAAGAAGGCCUUCGGGUUGUAAAGUAUUUCAGCAGUGAGGAAGGUGGGUAUGUUAAUAGCAUAUUCAUUUGACGUUAGCUGCAGAAGAAGCACCGGCUAACUCCGUGCCAGCAGCCGCGGUAAUACGGAGGGUGCGAGCGUUAAUCGGAAUUACUGGGCGUAAAGCGCAUGCAGGUGGUUUGUUAAGUCAGAUGUGAAAGCCCGGGGCUCAACCUCGGAAUUGCAUUUGAAACUGGCAAACUAGAGUACUGUAGAGGGGGUAGAAUUUCAGGUGUAGCGGUGAAAUGCGUAGAGAUCUGAAGGAAUACCGGUGGCGAAGGCGGCCCCCUGGACAGAUACUGACACUCAGAUGCGAAAGCGUGGGGAGCAAACAGGAUUAGAUACCCUGGUAG
rnacentral:rRNA from 1 species